AGAGUUGUAUCCUGGCUCAGAUUGAACGCUGGCGGCAUGCCUUACACAUGCAAGUCGAACGGCAGCACGGAGCUUGCUCUGGUGGCGAGUGGCGAACGGGUGAGUAAUAUAUCGGAACGUACCCAAGAGUGGGGGAUAACGUAGCGAAAGUUACGCUAAUACCGCAUACGAUCCAAGGAUGAAAGCAGGGGACCGCAAGGCCUUGUGCUCCUGGAGCGGCCGAUAUCUGAUUAGCUAGUUGGUAGGGUAAAAGCCUACCAAGGCAUCGAUCAGUAGCUGGUCUGAGAGGACGACCAGCCACACUGGAACUGAGACACGGUCCAGACUCCUACGGGAGGCAGCAGUGGGGAAUUUUGGACAAUGGGCGCAAGCCUGAUCCAGCAAUGCCGCGUGAGUGAAGAAGGCCUUCGGGUUGUAAAGCUCUUUUGUCAGGGAAGAAAAGGGAUUGGCUAAUAUCUGAUCCUCAUGACGGUACCUGAAGAAUAAGCACCGGCUAACUACGUGCCAGCAGCCGCGGUAAUACGUAGGGUGCAAGCGUUAAUCGGAAUUACUGGGCGUAAAGCGUGCGCAGGCGGUUUUGUAAGACUGUCGUGAAAUCCCCGGGCUCAACCUGGGAAUGGCGAUGGUGACUGCAAGGCUAGAGUUUGGCAGAGGGGGGUAGAAUUCCACGUGUAGCAGUGAAAUGCGUAGAUAUGUGGAGGAACACCGAUGGCGAAGGCA
rnacentral:rRNA from 1 species